rnacentral:miRNA from 1 species
ACCUGCCAGCACCUCCCUGCAG